GAAACCAAUGUUCUAAUGACCGAAACGAAUACGUAUUACACUUUACGAAAAGCAAACGUUAUGUUUUACGACUGAAUAAAAAUAAACAUAAAAUGAUGAAAAGUGUUUGAAACAAAUGUGAGUUUCGCAAUGCUUCUACCGCCUUUGGAACAAAAUGUGUUGCGAUCGUUGGCUGCCAAUACUGAUUGGUAUUACAGCUAUUAUUAUAUCAACAAAUGGAACGGGAGUGGACCGUCUUAGUAACGACGAUAGAAUGAAACAACAUGAAAUGGACUAUGGGGAACGUCUGUCAAGUAAGUAA